CAAAUUAGAGCUUGAGAUAAAAGUAUUUCAUUUACAUUGAAAGGAUAUUAAAUAUUAAUUAAUUUGA
rnacentral:tRNA from 1 species